UCGGGAUAGCUCAGUUGGUA
rnacentral:tRNA from 2 species